rnacentral:rRNA from 1 species
AGUAAAUAGAUACCCCGGUAGUCCACGCCGUAAACGAUGAGUACUAGGUGUAGGAGGUAUCGACUCCUUCUGUGCCGCAGUUAAACACAAUAAGUACUCCGCCUGGGAAGUACGGUCGCAAGAUUAAAACUCAAAGGAAUUGACGGGGGCCCGGCACAAGCAGCGGAGCAUGUGGUUUAAAUUCGAAGCAACGCGAAGAACCUUACCUAGACUUGACAUCCCCUGAAUAACGUAGAGAUACGCGAAGCCCUUCGGGGCAGGGAGACAGGUGGUGCAUGGUUGUCGUCAGCUCGUGUCGUGAGAUGUUGGGUUAAGUCCCGCAACGAGCGCAACCCUUAUCAUUAGUUGCUACCAUUUAGUUGAGCACUCUAGUGAGACUGCCCGGGUUAACCGGGAGGAAGGCGGGGAUGACGUCAAAUCAUCAUGCCCCUUAUGUCUAGGGCUACACACGUGCUACAAUGGUGAGAACAACGAGAUGCAAUACCGCGA